rnacentral:rRNA from 1 species
GACGAACGCUGGCGGCGUGCUUAACACAUGCAAGUCGAACGGAAAGGCCCUGCUUUUGUGGGGUGCUCGAGUGGCGAACGGGUGAGUAACACGUGAGUAACCUGCCCUUGACUUUGGGAUAACUUCAGGAAACUGGGGCUAAUACCGGAUAGGAGCUCCUGCUGCAUGGUGGGGGUUGGAAAGUUUCGGCGGUUGGGGAUGGACUCGCGGCUUAUCAGCUUGUUGGUGGGGUAGUGGCUUACCAAGGCUUUGACGGGUAGCCGGCCUGAGAGGGUGACCGGCCACAUUGGGACUGAGAUGCGGCCCAGACUCCUACGGGAGGCAGCAGUGGGGAAUAUUGCACAAUGGGCGGAAGCCUGAUGCAGCAACGCCGCGUGCGGUAUGACGGCCUUCGGGUUGUAAACCGCUUUCGCCUGUGACGAAGCGUGAGUGACGGUAAUGGGUAAAGAAGCACCGGCUAACUACGUG